rnacentral:rRNA from 1 species
AUUGAACGCUUUCUUCAUUCCUAACACAUGCAAGUCGAGCGGAUGAAGGGAGCUUGCUCCUGGAUUCAGCGGCGGACGGGUGAGUAAUGCCUAGGAAUCUGCCUGGUAGUGGGGGAUAACGUCCGGAAACGGGCGCUAAUACCGCAUACGUCCUGAGGGAGAAAGUGGGGGAUCUUCGGACCUCACGCUAUCAGAUGAGCCUAGGUCGGAUUAGCUAGUUGGUGGGGUAAAGGCCUACCAAGGCGACGAUCCGUAACUGGUCUGAGAGGAUGAUCAGUCACACUGGAACUGAGACACGGUCCAGACUCCUACGGGAGGCAGCAGUGGGGAAUAUUGGACAAUGGGCGAAAGCCUGAUCCAGCCAUGCCGCGUGUGUGAAGAAGGUCUUCGGAUUGUAAAGCACUUUAAGUUGGGAGGAAGGGCAGUAAGUUAAUACCUUGCUGUUUUGACGUUACCAACAGAAUAAGCACCGGCUAACUUCGUG